UACGUAGGGCGCAAGCGUUUAUCCGGAAUUAUUGGGCGUAAAGAGCUCGUAGGCGGUUUGUCGCGUCUGCCGUGAAAGUCCGGGGCUCAACUCCGGAUCUGCGGUGGGUACGGGCAGACUAGAGUGUGGUAGGGGAGACUGGAAUUCCUGGUGUAGCGGUGAAAUGCGCAGAUAUCAGGAGGAACACCGAUGGCGAAGGCAGGUCUCUGGGCCACUACUGACGCUGAGAAGCGAAAAGCAUGGGGAGCGAACAGG
rnacentral:rRNA from 1 species